rnacentral:rRNA from 1 species
GACGAACGCUGGCGGCGUGCUUAACACAUGCAAGUCGAACGGAAAGGCCCUGCUUUUGUGGGGUGCUCGAGUGGCGAACGGGUGAGUAACACGUGAGUAACCUGCCCUUGACUCUGGGAUAACUUCAGGAAACUGGGGCUAAUACCGGAUAGGAGCUCCUGCUGCAUGGUGGGGGUUGGAAAGUUUCGGCGGUUGGGGAUGGACUCGCGGCUUAUCAGCUUGUUGGUGGGGUAGUGGCUUACCAAGGCUUUGACGGGUAGCCGGCCUGAGAGGGUGACCGGCCACAUUGGGACUGAGAUACGGCCCAGACUCCUACGGGAGGCAGCAGUGGGGAAUAUUGCACAAUGGGCGGAAGCCUGAUGCAGCAACGCCGCGUGCGGGAUGACGGCCUUCGGGUUGUAAACCGCUUUCGCCUGUGACGAAGCGUGAGUGACGGUAAUGGGGAAAGAAGCACCGGCUAACUACGU